GUUCCUGUCCCUGUUACUUGGGGUUUCCCGACACCUGCAGAGAAAUGCCACUCGACCCCACAGCUUACCUUCCACAGAAGAAGGAGCUCCUGUCUGCUCGGCGACCCGCAGACGGUCCCUGACACCCACACGUCUUUUGGAGCUGGAGACUGGUUCUUGCUAUGCUUCCCCAACUGGCCUGGAACUCCUGGGCCCCAGUGAUCCUCCUGCCUCAGCCUCCGAGAGGCCGGGACUCCACGUUACCUGAAGCCAUUCCGGGACUUUUAUUCAUUCCCAGAAAAGGUUAGGGAAGGUUUGAGUUCCUAAAAUACUCCGAGUGGUCUCUGGCCUGCAACUGCCUAAAACCUAUACCACCGUCCCUGGCUAUCAUCAGAGGAUCAGUUUCAGGACCCGGCAGAGACGGAAAUCUGAGGAUGUUCGGGUCCCCUUACGGAGCAGCUCGGUACUGGCCCAGAGCGACACAUCCCCCUGCAGACUACACCCUGUCCAGACGACUUCCAACUCCUAACACAGCGUCGCUGGAAGAGGAGGGCAGGCUGCAGAGGAUGGAGGGAGGAAGAUGCUGUGCGGGCAUCUGCAGGGGCGCUCGGGAGCCGGGCGGGUGCCUCGUGAGCGGGCAGGGGCUCUGAUCUGGAGCCACGCCCCAGGACUCGCUGCGGGCGGGGCAGGGCAGGGGGUCCCCGCACUCACCAGGAUCCAGGCCCUCUCCUGGCAUCUGCGAUAGUAGAACCGGCAGAUGAGGACCUUAUGAGAUGGCCACCUGGGUGGCUCCCACUGCACCGUGGCCUCCAGGGGCUCAUCCUCCGAGAAGUCCACCUCGGGACGCAGCCGGGGCGCGCUGGGCUUCACUGGGGAGGGGCCGCCAGUGCCGUGAGCAGGCGGCUCCGGGACCACCCGCCCCCUCCAGAGCACCCCACCCGCCCGCCAGGUUACUUCGGGUCUCCAGGUUUACGAAGAUGGGGGGCCAGAGGCGCUGGCCUGCCUUGGUCCCCCAGACGAGGACUUCGUCAGACACGGUGAACUGCUCGCGAGGGACUGUCACCCAGCUCUGCCCUGCUGGCACCGCCACGGUCUGGGUUCUGUUGGGAUGACUGUGAGGAGAGACGUGCUCAUGAGCUGGGCGCUGGCCUGGACCCAGAGUCCCGGGAUAAGGGUCCUCGGUCCGGCCAGGCUCUGCCGGGUUCAGAGUCGCCGUGCCUGACGCUUCAGAGCUGUGUGAUCCAGAGGAUGGAGCGUCCCUUCUCUGUGCCUGCGUUCCUCACCUGCACAACGAAGGCGACCACAGUGCAUGCUGAGAGGGCCGAGCGUGGAAGGGAACAAAUAAGAUAACAAGUGAGACUAAAUGGUGGUGGGGACACAAUCGAGAGGGUCCCCCAUUAUGAUGGCUCCGCUGGUGAUUUUUCCAACUUUCGGUGGUGCAGCAGUGACCGGCACUCGGGAGAAACCACAUGUCAGAUUCCGAAGUCUGGGGCGGAGCUCAGAGGCGGAGCCCUUGCUUGCCACGGGCAGGGCCCCAGCUUCCCUCCCAGCACCACACGCGAAAUUUCGUUUUAGAUCUUGAUAUUUUCCUGGGCUGGCAAUACAGAACAACUCCUUUGCUUUUCAGUGUCAGUGAAGUAUUCAAUACAUUACACGAGACGUUUGACAUUUACUUAUAAAAUAGGCUUUGCAUCGGGUGCUCCUGCCCAAGUGCAGGCCCAGGGGGGUGCUCUGAGCUGGCCACCGAACCUGGGGGUUGUCACCUGAGGCUGGCAAUCGCCACUGAGCUGCACCCCAGCCCUGCUCGAUGCUCUGUGACUUACAACACUUUCAACUUACAAUGGGUUGAAAAUACAAUGGGAGGAACAUCUGUGCAUGUUAUGGAGCAUUACUUAUUAUGUUAUUGAGCACCUACUGGAUACAUGCACACUCAGGUCUAUGCAACCAUUCAGACAGCGGACAUAGCCCAGUUCUAGAAGCAGACUGGAACUAAGACCGAAAAGACAGGACCUGCCCUCUGGAGCUGAUAUUCCAGGAGAAGAAAUGGAAGAGAAACAUACAUAGACAAUGGAGCCAUGUAAAGAGCACUCAGACCGGGUGUAGACAAUGGCUGGUGCGUCUGAGCCACCGCAGAAAGGCCUGUGUG